rnacentral:rRNA from 1 species
UUGGUCCUACGGGGGGCAGCAGUGGGGAAUAUUGGGCAAUGGGCGCAAGCCUGACCCAGCAACGCCGCGUGAAGGAAGAAGGCUUUAGGGUUGUAAACUUCUUUUAUGAGGGACGAAUAAAGUGACGGUACCUCAUGAAUAAGCCACGGCUAACUACGUGCCAGCAGCAGCGGUAAUACGUAGGUGGCAAGCGUUAUCAGGAUUUACUGGGUGUAAAGGGCGUGUAGGCGGGAAUGCAAGUCAGAUGUGA